rnacentral:rRNA from 1 species
UACGGAGGGUGCAAGCGUUGUCCGGAAUCACUGGGCGUAAAGGGCGCGUAGGCGGCCGAUCAAGUCAGAUGUGAAAGUCCUGGGCUUAACCUGGGGACUGCAUUUGAUACUGAUUGGCUUGAAUUCGGGAGAGGAUAGCGGAAUUCCCAGUGUAGAGGUGAAAUUCGUAGAUAUUGGGAAGAACACCGGUGGCGAAGGCGGCUAUCUGGACCGACAUUGACGCUGAGGCGCGAAAGCGUGGGGAGCAAACAGG